GUGUCAGCAGCCGCGGUAAUACGUAGGGUGCAAGCGUUGUCCGGAAUUAUUGGGCGUAAAGAGCUCGUAGGCGGUCUGUCGCGUCUGGUGUGAAAACUCAGGGCUUAACCCUGAGCUUGCAUCGGGUACGGGCAGACUAGAGUGUGCUAGGGGAGACUGGAAUUCCUGGUGUAGCGGUGAAAUGCGCAGAUAUCAGGAGGAACACCGGUGGCGAAGGCGGGUCUCUGGGGCAUAACUGACGCUGAGGAGCGAAAGCAUGGGGAGCGAACAGGAUUAGAUACCCCAGUAGUCC
rnacentral:rRNA from 1 species